GUCGGUUCGCCGACUAUGGCGAUAAACGCCUUGUGGAAUAAGCGUUGUGGACCCGGGGGCGGUACCCGGCGCCUCCACCA
rnacentral:tmRNA from 2 species